rnacentral:lncRNA from 1 species
CUUUACUUGCACUACGUGGGCAGAGGUUCUGGUGUCACCCUCUGGGACGCUGGCCUGCGAGGACGUGGAGGUGGCUGUCACGGGGGUGACGGCUGCUGCUGUGCAUCUGCAGGGCUGGACUUUGGAGAUGAAUUUUGAGGCCUUAGGCUGGAUUCUUCCAGAAGCCAACCCAGACUCUGAGUGUGAGCAGAGUGCUUUUAUCUGGAGGUGAUCCCAGGGAGCCCUGCAGGAGGGCGGGGAAGGCAAGUGGGAAGGAAAAAGACUAUCAGGCCAACCCUGGAGUUGCAAUCAUCUGAAAAUCAUUUGGAGAUUGUCCAAAUGCCUGAGACCCCAAGGACAUGGACUCCUGAGCACCGUCUCCAUCCUUAAAGGCCAGGCUUCCCUCUGGGCAUCUCCAGGACCAGCACAGGGCCUGGCACCAGGCAGAGCUCAAAGCGAGGAGUGUCUGUCGACCGCACAGGUGAGGUCAGAUGGGAGCUGGCCCGCUGGCCUGUGGGAUGUCCCACAGUCUGGAUGAGUGUGACCGUUUCCCUCUAGAUUCAGGCUAACGGUUGUCGGCAGGAUUGCUGCAGCCAGAGACUCUGCUGACCCAUCGCAGGGAAAGGGACUCACAACGUCCCUUCAUCUGUCAUUGGGACAUCAGGUUUGAGUCCUUAGUUAAGGUGGUGUCCGCCAAAUUUCAAAGGACCCUUUUCCCCUUUGUAAUUGCUAAGUAACGUGGCGUGGUAGGGGCCAUGUGGGUAUAGAUCCCCCUGUUACUCAGAUUCCCCUAAAUCUUUCCUCAAUGGUUUUGACGUCCACGGAUGGUCUGCAUCUGAGUCAACUAUUACGUUGAUAGUUGCAAAUGGGGAUUUUCUAACUCUGUCAGGCCUUCUCCGUUUGUUAGCUGGCAUUCUUCCGUGAAGAUGAAUGGCCUCUUUUCCUAACCACUAUUUUCAGUAUCACUGAGGCCUCAUGGAUUCUUUCUUUACUCCCGGUAUUUAUAUCCAUGACCAUAAGU